UACGAAGGGGGCUAGCGUUGUUCGGAAUUACUGGGCGUAAAGCGUGCGCAGGCGGUUUUCCAAGUCAGUGGUGAAAGCCCGGAGCUCAACUCCGGAACUGCCAUUGAAACUGUGAGACUCAGUACGAGAGAGGUGAGUGGAAUUCCCAGUGUAGAGGUGAAAUUCGUAGAUAUUGGGAAGAACACCGGUGGCGAAGGCGGCUCACUGGCUCGUAACUGACGCUCAUGCACGACAGCGUGGGGAUCAAACAGG
rnacentral:rRNA from 1 species